rnacentral:snoRNA from 1 species
AAUGAGGGACUAAGAGCUGAGGAAUUUGGCUUCUAUGCUUUCCCCAGUGUCAUUGCCCUCAAAGA